AAUAUUGCACAAUGGGCGCAAGCCUGAUGCAGCAACGCCGCGUGCGCGACGAAGGCCUUCGGGUCGUAAAGCGCUUUUCGGGGAGAUGAGUAGGGACAGUAUCCCCCGAAGAACGAUCGGCUGACUACGUGCCAGAAGCCGCGGUAAAACGUAGGAUCCCAGCGUCAGCCGAAUUUACUGGGCGUAAAGCGCAUGCAGGCGGCCGCCAAAGCUAGAUGUGAAAUCCCCCGGCUCAACUGGGGGGGGGCGUUCAAAACUGUGCAGCUCGAGUGCGGUAGAGGAAGGUAGAAUUCCCGGUGUAGUAGUGAAAUGCGUAGAUAUCGGGAGGAAUACCCGUGGCGAAGGCGACCUUCUGGACCGUUUCUGACGCUCAGAUGCGAAAGCUUGGGGAGCGAACGGG
rnacentral:rRNA from 1 species